rnacentral:lncRNA from 1 species
AGCCACGUGCCUGGGUGUGUGUUGCUGUGUAGACCCAAGGGCCAGGUUGGAGUGUCGUCUACAGGUACUUUUUUUUUUCUGGGGGGUGCGAUGGGGGGCUUCUGUGCCAUACUGUGUAGCUUCCCAUAGAGAUGGGAGUUGGGUGUGCCUGAGUCUACCUGGAGCUACUUAGGCAGUAAUAUGUGUGUCAAGGGUGUGCAAAAGUAGCAUAGUAAUACAUAUCAGCUGGGGCACGUGUGCAGGGGACAUGUGUAUGCAUCUGUCAGAGUACAUAUGUAAGGACUUGCAUGUUAUGUCCGUUGUCUAGGCAUGGUCUGUGGAGUGUUUGUGGAUCAGCAGAAUGGAGUCAGAAUUUCAACAUGGAGUCUCCUGGGCCCACAACCUUCUGCUUUCUCGUUGACUCUGAAGAUGGUCUCCAUCAUCUAUCAUCACCAAGGACUCAAGCCCCAGGCCAAAGGCUUUUGAGGGCUUUGCUGUUGAAAUGAUCCAUGGUCCCAGCUAUGACAAAAACCCACACGGAGAAAUCUCCAGCAACAAAUGCUUAAUGAAGUGCCAGCAAAGCAUCACAUUAUGCAAAGCUGCCCAACUCAUCCGGCGCCUGAUCUGUGCUCAUGGUAACCAGAAGAGGACAUCCGAUCCCCAAGAGUUGAGGUUGAUUGGGAGCAGCCCCACAUGGGGGCUGGAAACCAAAACUCCUACCUUCUGCAAGAGCAUCAAGGUUAAGAGCAUUCGUUCAGCCCCAGGGCUGACUUUCUACAGCGCCUCAAGUAGGGCCCGUGGGAACAAGGAAUCGUGAUUUGAGGCAGUUCAACAGUUCCCUCCUCUGAGGGGUUUAAGACUUACUAGGCUACUUCAUGACCAGAAGGAAGAGCUUGGAAGGGAGAAGAUAGUUCAACAUACCUAGCCUUUGCUGAGCACUUUGUUAUCUGUCGCACAAGCCCAGAAGAAGAAUGCUGAUAUUCAAAUUUCAUAAAAGGGUAGAUGAUGUGCUGAUCCAAGGAUGCCUGAUUAUGCAGGCUUAGGUUGCCCAGAGCCUCUCUGAAGAGGAGACCCCAUUGCUGGCUUGGGGGAUGGAGCUUAGGCAUGGUUUAUAUUCUCAUGGACCCGCAGGAUUUCCUCUACAGUUCCAUGAAAAUCAGACCAGGCUACUUAAGUACAAGGUCAUUGGCUGGGCCAUAGGUGUGGCUGUUUUCAUGCCACAUUUCAGACUCUGGGCUUCCUCCACCUGCCUACCAAACCCAGGUGCUAUGAGGUAAAGAGCUGGCUGAACCCCUGCAUGCUGAACUGGCGACUCUCGGCUGAAUAUAAACCUGGACUUCCUAGAUCCUAUAUGACUAAGUUUGGCUUCACCCAAAGCAUCACCGCUGCAAUUGUCCAAGAACGCAGAAACCAUCAGCCUCCAACUUCCCAGGAGAGGGGCUGAUCUGGUCACCCACACACACCUCCAUCAUAGGCUUUGGAAGAGGGAACCACACCUCAUCAUUCUAUCCUGGUAGCAGCCAGAGCAUGGGCCGUUGUGGGCCUCGGUUCAAAGCCCAGCUCUGCUACUUCCCAGCCCUGUAUCAAUAGUCCCAGUUUUCCUGUCCAUCCAAUGGGACACUAACAGCCUCUACCUCUGCAGAAAUCUUAAAUAAUCAUCGGUGAGGCAAGCACAGGCCCCAUGCAAAUGGUUGUUACUGUUCCACUUCGGCAACCAAAAUAGACUCAGUUAAAUUCUUGAAAGUUAAUAUUAUAUUUGCAAGUAUGCAUUUGAUAUUUGUGUGUGUGUGUGUGAGAGAGAGAGAGAGAGAGAGAGGGAGAGAGAGAGGGAGGGAGAGAGAAUGUGUGUGGGUGUGGGCGCACAUGUGCUGUGAUGCUGCUGUGCUGGUCAACUCUAAAGACUUGAUUGCUUUUCCUAUGGCUUCUUAGAGUUGUCAUCCCAGACUGGUCUUUAGAGUGCAUGGGACAAUUGUCAAGUCUACGUGAGCCGGAGCGUGCUGGCUCGCACAGAUGUGAGACAGACAUGGUUGUGUUGUUCCUGUUCUUAAGUUCCUGGUACCGGAGGAAGGGGGGAUUCUGAGGGCUUAGAACACAGAAUUAGACCCUACAGCCUUGUUUUAAAAUGGGGAGCAGAGGCUGCUAGCUCAAGGUCAGCCAGAGUCAGGAGCUGGAAAAAUCAGCCUCAAACCCAGUUUGCCUGUAGUUUUGCUUUGGAUGUCAGGAAGUGCAGGUUCCUGGAAAGAGGGACCCCUGGUAAGGGGGUUCUGCUGCUUCUAGCAACUGCCUUUAGCCCCUACAACAGUGAGGCACCCAGCUAAGGAAUCAGUGAGUGUAUGAAUGAAUGAAUGAAUGAAUGAGUGGUGAAUGAACAAAUGAAUGAAUGAGUGGUGAAUCAAUGAAUGAGUGAGUGGUGAAUGGACUGGCAGAAAGAUAAAUGUUCUUUCCAGACCAGAGAGUGUCUAUGGGAUACAGAUCACUGAUUGCCUUGACCUCUGGGCUCCCCAGGGAUGAAAUCUUCUCCAGAUGACGCCACGGGGGAGGGGAGAGAAGGCCCCACCCCAGAAGAAGCCGCUUUCUGAGGGAUGGAAAUUAGAUGGUUAGUAAGCUGUGAGAGGACUGGGGAAAGGAGGCAGGGAUGGUUGUCCUGACUACAGAGGGAGGAAUGGGACCACGGCUCUGCAUGGGAGCUGGGGAGAUGGAGAAGUGUGUGAGGUUGAUGUGCCCGAGGGAACCCUGAAUCACACUUGCUCAGAGCCUGGGACACCUGGGGGCCUCCGUUGGCAAAGGCCACCUCCAUUCCUUAGAGGCCUGGGCAAACUCAGCACUGGCUGUUUAGGAUCCUGUUGCCAUAGAGAUGUGCAGCCAGCUCCUCUUGAGUGUGUUAGAGCCACGGGGUGUGGCCUGCCCUCAAAAUGGUUUGAAGCUGAGGGUGGAGGUGAGAAAGUGAUUGGGGUAGCAGAGGGGUUUGGUGAGACACUGCCCAACACGACAGCCUCAGGCACAUACGAUAUGGCUGACACUGGCUUUAGAAUCUACAGCUCUGGUCUUGAUCCCAGUUUCUGACUUGUAGCCCUAGAUGAGAAAUAUGACACUGCCUAGCAUCAGUUCCCUCAUCUAUGAAAUGGGUUUGAUAGCAUUCUUCGUCAAGCUGCUGUGACUGUCAUUGGAACCUGUCUAGGGAAGCUCAGCGGUGGGUGGGGUGCAGCAAAGCCUCCAUUAGUAAUUGGUGCCAGGGUGGGUCUUCUCAGUAUGCCCCCACUGCACAACCCUGUGACUGGGCCUGCAUUUGGG